CCCCCCCGCAUCCCGCGGCGCGCGGGGGAGAGGCGGACAAAAGCCGCCCCGCGCGGCGGUGGGGGCAGCGGGAGAGUGAGAAACUUUAGGAAAGUCACCCCCGCGGUGCCCCACGCGGGGAAGUUUCCCACGAGGGGGGGUUCCGCGGAGGGGCGCAGGGACUGGUGCCCCAGGGCGCGGAGAGCACCGUUGGGGCGGCCAAGCACAGCCCCGCUCGCAUGCGCUGCGCAGACGCGGGGCACAAACUUUCGGAGGAGCCGGUCCGCGGCCGCCCCCCGCCCGGCGCGGUGGCCCCGGCCGGUGGGCAGAGCGGUGGCCCCGGCCGGUGGGCAGAGUGGUGCCGGUGGGCAGAGCGGUGGCCCGCAUCCUCACACGCGGCUGUGCGCGGGGCCCCGCGGUCGCUUCCCACAUGCGAGGCACAAAAUACACACGAAAACGAGCAUCAGGUAGCGCCGCGCGGAGCAGCCAUCGGUGCCGACCCCCGGCCCCGGGCCCUGCUCGGCGCGCCACAAGUUUCGGGCAACCCAAACCCACCCCCGGCUCCGCACAGCCUGCGCCCGGCCGGCUCCGGCGGGAAGGCUUUGGGGGAAAAUAUGUUUUUUUUGGGGAAAAAAUAACCUAAAGAGGAUCGUCCCAGCAGGUCCGGGCUGCGAUCCGGACCGGAGCCUGCCGGGCGCGCUUUGCCCCGCCGUGAGUACGGCUCUCCGCGGCGUGGGGCGGGGAGAGCCCGCACCCCGGUCCCGGUUGCUGCGGAGGGUCGCCCGGCCGCUGCCGGCGGAGAGACGAGGCUUCCCGUAAGAAAACGGCCUUAGGCUGGCAGGCGGCAGGGGAAUAAACUGAGGAGAGGGAGUACUGCCCUGCGGAGGGACAGACGGCAGCGGAGCGCUGCAGGGCGCUCGGCGGCAGAGACACCAGGAAGGAUUAAUGCUGCAAAAGACCUGAGUGGCCUCUCUACCCCCACAGAUGACCAUUACGCUGAUAGCUCUGGAACCAGUUUGAGGCCCCUACUUCGGAUCAACUCAUUAUCCCGAAUAAACGAUGUGUCAUUCCCAUUAUUUAUGUUUCACUGCAGCCAAAGUAUCUGGACCUCGUUUUGGAGAAUACACAGCAGCAGAAGAUAAAGUAUUUGAUGUGGAGUUCCUUCUCUAAGACAAAAGAAAAAUAUGCAAGGUAAUUCAGGGCAGAAGUCCCACUGGCACACCUGAGAGCAAAGUUUGCUACAAAGAUGUUUGCGCAUUUUGUGUACAGAGUUUUGCUUCUUGCGUUAGAUCCAGCAUGGGUCAAAGUUGCUUUACAUCACCUUGACUGGUUACAAAGGAAACCUUCAAAUAAACCAGGAUUGUUGCAACAUUUUCUGUUGAAAUACACCCAGUGGACAGUGUACCCAACAUGAGAAGUGAAGCGUGAGAAGAUGUGCGCUGGUUUAGUUUUCCUGGAGUAAAAAGAGGAAGGCUCCAAUUGAAGAUGCUCUCUGUCUGAUUUCCCAAGAUCUAGGUCUGGCCCAAUGAUGCACAAUAAUCUCAUCACUUGCAAAGAGACAAUUGGAGCAAGUCUCCACCCUGCAGGUAUGCUGAGAGAGGGACAAGCAGGAGUUACUUUGGUACCACCUUGUUAUCCCAUCAAGCACUACCUGCCUGUUUCUGGUUUCAGAGGGUAUCUGAUGCUACCGCUCACAGACCAAAGUAUUUCUUCGUGAACAAAAUCCUGGCUGUAAGAAGUCAAUGGCAGAACACACGGUCAAUGAUUUCCAGCUGUGGUAGGACAUUCUCUUGAGUUGAUAAACACCUAGAUUCAAAUCUGAAAGGCUGGAUAAAAUGUAUAUGAGCCUUCUACCUGUUGGAUAAAUACCCAGACUCUGGCUGUCAGCUCUAGCCUCCCCCAUCCUCACCCUCUCCAAAGGACAUCACUCCUGCCUGUCUUUGGUUCUCUCUGAAGAGGGAAAAGUCCCAUUGAAAUUCAGUCUGCAGUUGUCAGAUCUACAAACAUAGGUCCUUAUCUGGCAUGUAAGACUGUGUCUAACUUGGAAAUAAGCUAGACAGGGAGGCCAUCCUCUCGUACUGUAGUGAAGUAUCAUGACUUGGGUCCACACCUAGAUUUUCUACAAACAGGGUGGUUGAAUCCAACCUGCCUACUGGGAACAGUGCCUGGGAGUAAAGCUCCUUCCUUGCUUUCUGCCUGAGCAACGCCUGAAGGCAAGCUAUCAGCAUGUCCUAUCUGUGAGACAUCACUACUUCCCAGCCAGCCAGCAGAUCGAGGGAUGGCUUUUGGGUCUCUUGCCAACUGCCUCGUACAGGGAUGACAGAGGGAACAUCCAAAAUGAUGGUAAGCAACUACUGAAGCUCAGUCUGAGACUUCAAAUUGCAAAAAAGGCAAAACACCAGUCACCCAGUGUGUGGGUUUACUGUAGAAAUUAUUACAGGCGCUAAACUAAUCUAACCCCUACUACAGAAAAGCAAAGCUACGGUUGAGAGCAAGCAGGUCUGAUGCAUCACCACAGGGAGCCUGAGUCUUAAUAUUGUGUUGUUCCACCACCAUCUUCCUUUUGCCAUCAUCUAUACUUCUCUUGUUCUCUCUUUUUCAGCUCUAAUUACUGUGUGGAACCAACCUCCUUCAUGCAGUCAAGGCUGUCAGCACUCCCAGCGUGGCUCCAGCCCUUCCUCCUUGCACCUUGGGGCUCUAGGUGCCUCUUGCCCUUCUCCCUGCUUCCCUUGCUAUUUCCAGGCUGCUUUGCUCUGGGAUGUGCCAGUACUGGAUUAGGCUGAAUGCAAGUCCCACAUUCUUUAUUACAGAGUCAGCAUUUCUUCCUCGUUCCUUGCCUGGCUGCUGCCCAGCAGGUUAUUUUGGGACCUACGCUAGCUGGCCCAGAGCACAGCCAUGCCAGGAAGGGUACUAACAGCUGAAAGCUGCCGAGGAUUGUUUGCCAGUGCCUGAGCCUGAAAUGAGGUGCUGUUUUAUUUGGGGCAUAGACAUAGUGUAAACAUCCCUGAAGAGAAUGGUGGUAGAGGGUAAGGUUUGUCCUUACCCUUUAGGGUAAGGUAAGGUCGGGGUAAGCUAGUCCAGCACUGAAGGGCUAGCUGGGGGAAGGGAAGGCAAGGCUGGGCAGCAGCCCCUUGCAGUGCUUUCCCUGUAACCGGCAGCGCUGCAAACCUGCAGGCUGGGGGUGGGAGAGGCAGUGCUGUGAGAGGGAUUAAGCCAUCUGCACAUUUUCCUCCCUUUCCUCCCAGCCACAGACAGACCCUCACCACCGUGUUCCCAAGCCAAGAUGGUGCCUCUGCUCCUGGGACAUGUGGUCCCCACACCUCCCCCUGGGUCAAGGCAAGAAGCAGCAAAAACUCAGCAGCACUGCAGAAUUGUCCUGUGGGUCUUGGUGGGUUGGGACUGGCAGAUGUUGAUAUAGCAGCUAGCGCACGGUUCAAGUGUCUCUCCUCACCUCAUACCUCUCCAUCCCAAGACAAGGAGUAUUGCAAGCCCAUGGUGUGGACACCAAGCUGUAGGUCAGGCAGAGUAUGUGUGGAGACAGGCAUUGGGUGGCAAGAGGGUGCGGAAGAAGGGAGCAGGAGGAGGGGAAGGAGAUGGGAUGGAAGAAGCAAGAUCAAAAACAACAUCUGUGAAAUGGUUGUGAAAGAUUUGGUUGAGCUUUCUGGGCGAGUUAAUCCUCCAUGUGUUCUCUGAGCUGGUAAAUAAUAUUGAUGUAUAGGUAUAAAGUGGGACUCCAUGACCAAGUACAGACCCUGCAGCAUCAUAGUUAGGUGUCCUGCCUAUGAUAUGCUCAUUUGAUUUAGAACCAGAAACAAUUUUACCUUCUCUGGUGUGCCUGCUCUCCUUGUAAAACAUUAUGUCGUACCUAAGUGGCCUUUAUACCUGUGGAGCCAGAUGGCCACCAAUGACUUGUACCUCUUUUCCUGGGAGCUGACUUGGAAUAGCUUCUAUAAGCCUGAAUUUCUGCUCUGGAAAACAGCCUGUUGAAAAUGUCUUGUCCUGAGCAACUUCCAAUACAUGCCUUCAGGAGCACAUGAAACUAUUGCACCUUCUUAGCCCCCGUGCAGUACUGCAGGUCUUGGAGGAACCUGGAGUGCCCGUAGAGCAGCCGGCGAGCAGAUGCAGUGGGGUGGUCAUGGUACCUGAGCUGCCUUGUUUGAAGCCAGGGUAAACCUGCAGAAGCCAGGGUAGCUGCCCUCCCAACUUGGAGCUGGGAGUGCUCUGAGUGCAUAGCAGCAGCUACAGGGCCAACGUCCUUUAGCAGACGGCAACCAUGGAUGUCUGGAGAACAGUGUUAAAUCCUCUGGCAGAGUCAUGACAUGUUGCUGGCUUAUUCUUAACCUUUUAUGUUCUAUUGCAGCGCUUUUGUAAAGAAAAAAAGGUUAUUGUUAUACUUGAAUUUAUCAUGCUGUUGGAGAGCACUGGGUGUGAGUCAGCCUUGAGGCAGUAAGAUGGACAAGAUGAGCUCUUGAAGUACCUUUCCAGAUCUAUUUCUACAAGUCUAUGAGCAGAACAAAAUGAACUCAAGAUGUUUUCCCAGAAGAGAGCAAAUAAAGGAGCCAUUUCUUUGAAUUCUGCACAGAUUGAAUAUGAAUAAAAUGAAUCCCACA